UUUAAAGUUUAACGCCAGUACGCCAUAUUCUACAUGCGCUUCUCCUCCUGUCCAUACGGUAAUUUCUCUACUGUGCGACAGAGAGUCGCGUGGUUAUGACGCAAUCGUUAGCAUAGUUUUACUAAAACUGCUUCUACUGGGCCAUAACGUAAGAUACAAGGCAGAUCAACAUGCAAUUUGAAGACGCGUGAUAAAAUACAGAGAGGUGAAGUAGUGUGUCUUUCCAGAUCCCCAAAUCAUUCCCCCUUAAAAGAUGAGCCUGAAGAGGAGAUUUGGGAAGAUGCUGUUUCAUAAGUCGCUUUGCCAGAUCACCUGUGGUAAGUUUGUAAAACAUAUAUUAAAAAUAGGAUUAGAUCAUCUCCUUAUCAAAAGUUUUUGAUCAGGUCGGGAUGUCUGCUAACAAGAUGCCUUGCGUUUACAUUGACUUAUUUCCUUACCUCUUCUUUCUCUGAAGCAUUUUCUCCUGUGGUACGCAAGAUCUCGCAGACAGCCGUUAAAACAGUCCAGUCUCGUGUAAUCUCGCGAGAUUAC